rnacentral:rRNA from 1 species
AGUGAACGCUGGCGGUAGGCCUAACACAUGCAAGUCGAACGGCAGCACAGUAAGAGCUUGCUCUUACGGGUGGCGAGUGGCGGACGGGUGAGGAAUACAUCGGAAUCUACUUUUUCUUGGGGGAUAACGUAGGGAAACUUACGCUAAUACCGCAUACGACCUACGGGUGAAAGCAGGGGAUCUUCGGACCUUGCGCGAUAGAAUGAGCCGAUGUCGGAUUAGCUAGUUGGCGGGGUAAAGGCCCACCAAGGCGACGAUCCGUAGCUGGUCUGAGAGGAUGAUCAGCCACACUGGAACUGAGACACGGUCCAGACUCCUACGGGAGGCAGCAGUGGGGAAUAUUGCACAAUGGGCGCAAGCCUGAUCCAGCCAUACCGCGUGGGUGAAGAAGGCCUUCGGGUUGUAAAGCCCUUUUGUUGGGAAAGAAAAGCAGCAGGUUAAUCCCCCGAUGUUCUGACGGUACCCAAAGAAUAAGCACCGGCUAACUUCGUG